rnacentral:pre_miRNA from 13 species
GCGGCAAGCAAUCUUCAGAGAACCGCAGGGAACAUUCAACGCUGUCGGUGAGUUUGAGAUAGAGAAGAAACCAUCGACCGUUGACUGUACCUUGAGGUUUAUCACAGACACAUUGUUAAAU